CAUAUCAUUUGUUUUUGCCAAUAUAUAUCUCAACCGGAGCACACGGCAAUCAUAGGCUUAGUUUUCUCCUCAGUCCAGACCAUGGCAGUCAUCAAGAGCAAUCGCACGCAUGCCGUGGGUUCUUCAAUCUGCGUUGUUGUUAUGAUCAUCUCUUGCACUUUGAUCUUACCAACCUCUUGCUAUGAACUUGAUCGUCAUGAGGAGUGCAUGCCUACUCAAGUCUGCCAUUGGAACGUCUGCAAGAUCUUUUGCAGAUACGGCGGCCACCCUUGGCUUGGGGCCUAUUGCAAGACUCAGCCAGGAGAUGUGAAACUAUGUUGUUGUGUUUAUUCCUGAAUCUCCAGUGAUGCAAGUUGUUGUUUGGGGCACUAAUAUUGCAGUUUCCUGUAUCCACCCGCUUGCGAUGCAGUCUCAAUAAAAGAGUUUUCUAGCGACUCAAUCAAUGAAUCAGUGUAUGAUCGAUAUCAUGUGCGCAUAUCUAGCUAGUGGCUCAUCUUUAUGUCUUAAACCAGCGUUGAAGAGAUUAUUAUAUCAAUUGUUCUUCAAUUUCCUAUUAUUCUGAUUCGAUGAUCGCAAUUUA